CAUACUCUAAUUGCAGGAUAAAUACCAUGAGUAAUUAAUUGCUUGAGUGCAACUUUUGCAACCAGUUGUUCUAUAGUUAUAACAAAGAUCACCUUCUUCCAUUAAUCUUUACCUAGAAAGAGUAAAAAGUCACAAAAGCUAAUGAUUUAUGCUCAACCUUGUCUCUGCCCAUCCUCACCUGCUCAGGAGAUGUUAAUUAAACUGCCUAUAUUAGCUCCCCUGAGCUGCUUCCAUGUUACACUUUUUUAUCCCCUUCCUGAAUCUGGUUCCUUUAAAAGGCUUUCAGUUUUUUCACGUAGGGGAUCACCCCUCACAAGGCAUUCUGAGGCAUAGCCUUUAUUUUAAAGGUCAAAUUUCAUUUCUUUAAAAGCUCUACACUUUUAUUUUUCUAUUCCCAACAAUACAGUAUUCAUAAGGAACCAGAGGUUUCUUCAUCUAAGGAUCCAGAAGUAAUGAUCUACAAAACUUCAUGUGUAAAUCACCAAUUCCUACCAUAGCAAAACCUGUGCUCAAAAUCAUUUCUGCUGGCCUUGCUCCGUGUUCCAUCUUCUGAGACGCUGGCAUACUCUGGGUGGCAAUGCAAACCUCUCCAGGUAGCCAAGCUGGGGCUUCACUGCCACCUGCUCCCAUCUCCCUCCCGUCUGAGCCCCUCCUUUCCUCUCAAAGGUGACCCAUAUUCCAGGGGCAGCGGGCUGGCAGCCCCUCUUGAUGAGCUUCAGUGACUUCCACACAGGACUCUUCACUCCAAUGCUGUCACUGAGAAUAAGUCUGUGACUCAUGUCAGGGAGCACUUAUACCUAGAGGACCAAUUAUUACAGCUGUGCAUGGACUCCUAUUAUUAAGGUCAGAGGCCAGACUUCCCAAUGAAAGGCUGCCUUUGGUCCAGGGGACAUGCCCAGUCCCUUCACGCCCCGGGCUGUGAACUGAUCUUAUUCUCAUUUGCAUCCUCUUGGGGCAGAAUUCAGACAGGCUGUGAAUGAUGAUGAAAAUCAAUCAAGGCAACUUUCAGCAACUGAGGAGUCCAUAUACGUCCACAGAGGCCAACAUACAAGCUUCCCCUUAAUCAAAAAACAACAACAACAACAACAACAACAGAGGGUCAAGCAGGGAUCCGGACAGCAACUUCCACAAUCAGAGACUCAGGAGACUCCUGGAGUCAGCCCUGCCCACUUGCCUCUGAGAGCCAUUGUCUAGGAAUGCAGACAGGACACGGUUUCCCCACAAGGAUGCGGCUCUGAGAACCAGGCUCCUGGAAUAUUGCCUCCCGGCAGCCCCCUCCCCACCAUGCCCUCUGAGAUACCCCCUGGGUGAGCCUACAACCCUGACUGCUGUCUACCCAGCAGGGGUGGCUUCUGCUCGCCCUGCCAUCCAAGGGAAGGGGCUGCAGGCACCAACGUCAGACAGAGGCCUGAGCAGAAAUACAGAGAGCUUGCAGACAGGAUGGGGGAACUACACCACACUGAGACCUGACCACAGCCUGGAAAUUCAACCACACUCUCCAAUUACCUUGGGGAGGUCUCCAUGUGCCUUAGAACACAGCAGAAAGAGCACUAGCCUUGGAGUCAGACAGACCCAGUCUUGCACCCGGCUCUCUGUCACCUGGAACAAGCUACUGAAUGUCUCUAAGUUCAGGGCGAGUAUCCACUUCAUGAGUGUUUUGGCAGAUUCAUGAUAUUGCAUGUGACACGUGAUAUUGCAUAAAACCCGACUAUUUUUCUCUAUCUCGGAAACCUACUGUUGACACUGAACCUAUUGCAAUUGUAAUUUUAUUAGUUUGCAAUUUACUUGCAUUUACUGUUAUUGUUGUUGCUGUUUAUAUCCCUCACCAGACUAUAAAAUCCAUGAGAGCACAGACCAUAGCUGCCUUGCUCACAUGCAUUCCAGAAGCUAGCACAUAAUAGGUACUCAAGAACACUAUUUUCUGUAAAAUGUAUAUCCACCCAAUAAAAAUUAGUUUCUCUUCCUCUCUUGGCUCUGCAGAGAAGUCAAAUAUUCCUGACCUAGCCAUCAAAGCUGGGUGGUUGGAUAUUCAUUGCAGCAUUUAUACCCCAAACUCCUGAGAAAGGAGACUGAGGAAACCAGGAGGCACUGCUGAUCACUAGAAACAGUUCCAGUGUUUAUCUAAUGGGAUACUACUAAGUCACACCCCCAGGAGCCACUUUAGAAAGAGACAAUAAACCGCCUCCCUCUGCCAGGACCAAGCAGAGAGAUGCUGCCUCUGCCCCAUCUCCCAGGAGCCUCAGCAAAGGCCCUCCGGCCCAGGGGUGGGCUGCUGGGGUGAGCAAAGCUUCCAGUAAUUGCAACACAGUUUCUUCAAGAGAUGGAAGGAAAAGCAUUUCAAUAAUAAGCAAAGGAGAGGGAAAAUCAAUAAGGAUGUGUGUAAUGAAUUUUUGUUUCCUGAAAUAGCCUGGCAGGAGCCUUGCCAGGAAGAGUUAGGACUAAUCAGUGACAAGAUGAGAGACACAAAUCCAAGAAUAUUAUUCAGCUCUGCAGCCUCCCUGGGUGAAAGAAUGUCAGGGUAAGGAAUUGCAAAGAGCUUAGCCUAUUGUCCAGAAACAUAGGAGAAUCUGGACAAAGGUAACAAUAGCACUUCUACUUGUUUGGGAAGAAACCUGCACUUCUCUGGAAUUUGAGGGGGGUUCUGAGCAGGUUGGACAAAUGGUAACAUUUUCUUUAACCCUCAAGUCAACCACCCCAUCAUCAACACUACAUAAAAGACUAAAUACGGGGCUAUUGCGGGCUGCGUGAUGGUGAUGAGCAAACUGCAACUCUGCCAUUCACUAAUCAUUCACUGUGUAGUCUUGGGUAGGUUACUUAAAACCUCUGAGCCUCAGUUUCCUUCUAUAAAAUAGGGAUCUAAGAAUUCCCAGGUUGUAAAACUGUUGUGAAGAUUAAAUGAGGUAGAAUGUCAAUCACAGCUCAGUGCCUGACACAGGGUAAGCUCCCAAUAAGUGGUUGCUGUUAUUGUCACCAUUACGGUUAAAUAAUCCCAUGUUGCUGUGCGUCCUUGUUAAGAUCACUGAAGCUUCUGCUAGACUGCAUGCCCUUGACAGGAGAGGACCACAUUUUCAUCCUAGAAUACCCUGUACCUGGAAGAGCCAAUAGAUGUAGAAAUAAGGACAAAGUGAUUCUCACUUUCAUAAUCUCCUCUGAACAUCUGAGAUUGUGUGUGUGUUUGUGUGUGUGUGUGUGUGUGUCCCCUGACAAAUGGAGAGAAUUCCCUUACAGGGAUUUAAGUGUCUAACAACUCACUCACCUAUGACAGAGCAAUUAGCCUUGUAUUAGCACUUCUUAAAACCACUCUGAAGUAUUUUCACUUUUUGCCAUAAUUAUGUACAACGUAGUAAAGUGGCUCUGAAGCAUACUAAUUAUCAUCUUUUCUGUAACUACAUUUUUACAUCAACUUUAUUGAGGCACAAUUUACAUAUAAUAAAAUAGACGCACUCUGGUGUACGGUUUGGUGAGUUUUGAUAAAUGUCUACACUCAGGUAACUACUACCUAAAUCACGAUGUAAAAACUUUCCACCACGCAAAUGGGCUCCUUUGUGCCCUUUCCCAGUCAAUCCCCACCUCCACCUCCAGCCCCAGAUAACCACUAGCACAUCUGUUGUAGAUGGGAUGAGUCUUUUCUAGAGUUUUAUUUAAAUGGAAACAUGCCAUAUUUAGUCUUUUAUGUCUGGACUCUUUUGCUCAACAGAACGUGUUUGAAAUUCAUUCAUUUAGCUGCAUGUAUUAUCAAUAGUAUAUUUCCUUCUUAUCGCUAAGCAGUAUUCCAUUGUAUGAAUAUAUUACAUUUUAAAAAAAUCUGUUCACCUAUUGAUUAACUCUUUGGGUUGUUUCCAAUUUUUAACUAUUAUGAAUAAAGCCAC
rnacentral:lncRNA from 1 species